UGAAAUCGUCAUCAUCCAUGACAAAUAAUUAUUAAGUCCCACUUUGUGUUUGGUUUCUAGGUAUAAUGAAUGAGGUGGCAGAAGGUUUUUCGGUUAAAAGGACUAAAAUCCAUUUAAUGCCUGGAUGGACAUCAGAAUUAGGUGACAGAUGAAUCAUGUGCCAGUCAAGGCAAGAAAUGGUCUUUCCCGAAGUGGAUAUAAGCACUAAGUUGAGAGUCUCCCGAUUGUUCCUUAAACUUUCUAGUUCCCACAACCUUGGGGACUCUGUAGGUGCCUACUGGAAUUGUUGUCAUCCUUUCUUUACGACUCCAAGAGAAACUUUAUACUGGAGGAAGAAUAUUCUACCACUUUGGGAUGCUUCCAAAGAAAUGGGACACCAAAGGAGUGAACUUCAGGUCAUUGGAAGUGGCCAAGCUGGAGGGCGACCUAUGGAGACAUGGAACACCUCCCAGUCUGGAGAUGCUGCCCCAUGGCCCAUAUUUGGAGCUGAUGUGCUGAAGGAUAGAGAGGAAGAGAAAGCUGUAGUUCCUCACCAGAGCCAAGCAGCCCCUCUGAGAGGGUGA
rnacentral:lncRNA from 1 species